rnacentral:rRNA from 1 species
UACGAAGGGGGCGAGCGUUGUUCGGAUUUACUGGGCGUAAAGGGCGCGCAGGCGGCUCCAAAAGAUCAGGCGUGAAAGCCCCGGGCUUAACCUGGGAGGUGCGUCUGGGACUGUGGGGCUAGAGUUCGGGAGAGGAGCGUGGAAUUCCCAGUGUAGAGGUGAAAUUCGUAGAUAUUGGGAAGAACACCGGUGGCGAAGGCGGCGCUCUGGACCGAGACUGACGCUGAGGCGCGAAAAGCGUGGGGGAGCAAACAGG